AACCAGUUUGGUCAGGGAGUUGCAUCAAUAAGAGCACCACCGCAAGAAACCAUCAAGUUGCAUCUCGGACGAUCCCCCUUGCUUUAUGCUGAUGUUUGUCCAGGAAAGAAAAGUGAUCAUAUCACUGGCUAUAACCAGAUUUUACUUGAAAAAACAUGACUGCUGUCUACACUACAAGCUGCCUUCCUGCAUCACUGUAUUGCUGCCUUAUUGAUAAAUAUAUAUCACUUUGCUCUAGCUGCCUAUAACACACAACACUAUACCAAUAAAACUACAGUAUUUACUCGUCAGAUUCAAUCAGGUUAAAUCAACGUUUCACCAAGUGCCUUCACCUCAGGGCCAUUGAUUGAAGCAAUAAACUUGAAGCUACCUAUUUAUGUUAGUAUUAGCAGCUGAAAUGAUGUUGUAUUUUUCAUACAUAUAUUUUGUUAUUUCUGUUCUUUU